rnacentral:rRNA from 1 species
GGGUUGUGAGGUUAAGCGACUAAGCGUACACGGUGGAUGCCCUGGCAGUCAGAGGCGAUGAAGGACGUGCUAAUCUGCGAAAAGCGUCGGUAAGGUGAUAUGAACCGUUAUAACCGGCGAUGUCCGAAUGGGGAAACCCAGUGCAAUUCGUUGCACUAUCGUUAACUGAAUACAUAGGUUAACGAGGCGAACCGGGGGAA